rnacentral:rRNA from 1 species
CCCUUAGAUGUUCUGGGCCGCACGCGCGCUACAAUGAUGAAUUCAACGAGUUUAUAACCUUGGUUGAAAAGCCUGGGUAAUCUUUUGAACUUUCGUCGUGAUGGGGCUAGACCCUUGCAAUUAUUGGUCUCCAACGAGGAAUUCCUAGUAAACGCAAGUCAUCAGCUUGCAUUGAUUACGUCCCUGCCCUUUGUACACACCGCCCGUCGCACCUACCGAUUGAAUGGUCCGGUGAAAUCUUCGGAUUGAGACUUUGUUUUCUUCACGGAAAACGCUGUUUUAAAAAGUUGAUUAAACCUUACCAUUUAGAGGAAGGUGAAGCCGUAACA